rnacentral:rRNA from 1 species
GAUGAACGCUGGCGGCGUGCCUAAUACAUGCGAGUCGAGCGAACGGACGAGAAGCUUGCUUCUCUGAUGUUAGCGGCGGACGGGUGAGUAACACGUGGAUAACCUACCUAUAAGACUGGGAUAACUUCGGGAAACCGUAGCUAAUACCGGAUAAUAUUUUGAACCGCAUGGUUCAAAAGUGAAAGACGGUCUUGCUGUCACUUAUAGAUGGAUCCGCGCUGCAUUAGCUAGUUGGUAAGGUAAAGGCUUACCAAGGCAACGAUGCAUAGCCGACCUGAGAGGGUGAUCGGCCACACUGGAACUGAGACACGGUCCAGACUCCUACGGGAGGCAGCAGUAGGGAAUCUUCCGCAAUGGGCGAAAGCCUGACGGAGCAACGCCGCGUGAGUGAUGAAGGUCUUCGGAUCGUAAAACUCUGUUAUUAGGGAAGAACAUAUGUGUAAGUAACUGUGCACAUCUUGACGGUACCUAAUCAGAAAGCCACGGCUAACUACGUG